rnacentral:tRNA from 1 species
GACGCCGAGGUCACAUGGUGUGACAACUCCCUGCAAAGGAGUUUCGGGUGAGUUCGAUUCUCACCGGCGUCU